UACGUAGGGCGCAAGCGUUAUCCGGAAUUAUUGGGCGUAAAGAGCUCGUAGGCGGUUUGUCGCGUCUGCCGUGAAAACUCGGGGCUUAACCCCGGGCCUGCAGUGGGUACGGGCAGACUAGAGUGUGGUAGGGGAGACUGGAAUUCCUGGUGUAGCGGUGAAAUGCGCAGAUAUCAGGAGGAACACCGAUGGCGAAGGCAGGUCUCUGGGCCACUACUGACGCUGAGAAGCGAAAGCAUGGGGAGCGAACAGG
rnacentral:rRNA from 1 species